UUUUUUCCUUAAGUGAAAGGGGGAAAUCCACACGAUUCUUUGCAGUCUUGUGAAGCAUUAGCCAGAAGCACUAGCCAUGAUAGGAUUCAGGAAGAAGAAUAUAUAAUUUUAAAAUAUUUUAGGAAGUUUUUUCCUUCCUAUGUUAGAUUAAUUUUGUGAUUUGGUGACCAAUAAUCAACAAAGUAUAUAAAUAGAAUUGAGCUAUAAAUAAAAUGAACAUAAAGCAUAUGUACUGAAAUUCUAGAGUUUAUGUAGAUAGUUUCUUCUCAGACCUACCCUCUAAAGAAGUCCAAGACUGCCUUUAAAAUGUUUGUAGAAUGCAUUAUAUUUUCAGUUAGUAACACAGAAUAACUAAUUUGCAUUUGUUGACUGCAUUUUCCAUCUUUCCUUUUGAAAAAAAAGUUAAAAAAUUACUGAGAUACCAAAUAAGACCAUUGUCUGUUUUCAUCCAAAGCUGUCCACGUUGCCUCCAACAUACCAUGCCUGCUCUGUUUCUAGUUAUUCUCAAACCAGGAGAGGAACAGCACAACAGUUCUGACAUCAGAAAUACCUUUAAACUUGUCUGUACCCCGGGAGCUCUGGACAUGUGCGAGAAUGGCGAACCAUAGAGAAUCUGAAGAGUCAAGAGGAUGUCUAGGCUACAGCAUCUACAGGACCCGCUGAGAGCACUUGGAAGAAAUACUUCUUUAUUCAUAAUUCUAUUUUUUGCCGUUGAAAGGCAGUGCAAAAUAGAGCAUUUGGUUUCUAAUCAAGAGAUUAUUCCAUUAAAAUAAUUCAUAACC